CGCUGGCGGUAGGCUUAACACAUGCAAGUCGUGCGAGAAAGUAUCUUCGGAUAUGAGUAUAGCGGCGGACGGGUGAGUAACGCGUAGGAAUCUACCUAUUAGAAGGGGAUAGCCCGAGGAAACUCGGAUUAAUACCGUAUACCUCCUUAGGGAGAAAGAGGGCCUCUCUUGAUGCUCUCGCUAUUAGAUGAGCCUGCGUAAGAUUAGCUUGUUGGUGAGGUAAUGGCUCACCAAGGCUACGAUCUUUAGCUGGUCUGAGAGGACGAUCAGCCACAUUGGGACUGAGACACGGCCCAGACUCCUACGGGAGGCAGCAGUGGGGAAUAUUGGACAAUGGGCGCAAGCCUGAUCCAGCCAUACCGCGUGUGUGAAGAAGGCCCUAGGGUUGUAAAGCACUUUAAGCAGGGAGAAAAAGCUAUAAGUUAAUACCUUAUAGCCCUGAUGUUACCUGCAGAAUAAGCACCGGCUAAUUCCGUGCCAGCAGCCGCGGUAAUACGGAAGGUGCAAGCGUUAAUCGGAAUUACUGGGCGUAAAGCGCGCGUAGGUGGUUUGUUAAGUUGGAUGUGAAAGCCCUGGGCUCAACCUAGGAACUGCAUCCAAAACUAACUCACUUGAGUACGAUAGAGGGAGGUAGAAUUCAUAGUGUAGCGGUGGAAUGCGUAGAUAUUAUGAAGAAUACCAGUGGCGAAGGCGGCCUCCUGGAUCUGUACUGACACUGAGGUGCGAAAGCGUGGGUAGCGAACAGGAUUAGAUACCCUGGUAGUCCACGCCGUAAACGAUGACAACUAGCUGUUGGGAGACAAAGUCUUUCAGUGGCGCAGCUAACGUUUUAAGUUGUCCGCCUGGGGAGUACGGCC
rnacentral:rRNA from 1 species